UACGUAGGGGGCGAGCGUUGUCCGGAUUUAUUGGGCGUAAAGAGCGUGUAGGCGGCCAGGUAGGUCUGCUGUGAAAACUCGAGGCUUAACCUCGAGAUGUCAUCGGAAACCAUUUGGCUAGAGUCCGGAAGAGGAGAGUGGAAUUCCUGGUGUAGCGGUGAAAUGCGCAGAUAUCAGGAAGAACACCAAUGGCGAAAGCAGCUCUCUGGGACGGUACUGACGCUGAGACGCGAAAGCGUGGGGAGCGAACAGG
rnacentral:rRNA from 1 species